rnacentral:rRNA from 1 species
UAGCUGAGGAAAAGGAAACCAACAGGGAUUGCCCCAGUAACGGCGAGUGAAGCGGCAACAGCUCAAAUUUGAAAUCUGGCCUCGGCCCGAGUUGUAAUUUGUAGAGGAUGCUUUUGGGUGCGGUGCCUUCUGAGUUCCCUGGAACGGGACGCCGGAGAGGGUGAGAGCCCCGUACAGUUGGACACCAAGCCCUUGUAAAGCUCCUUCGACGAGUCGAGUAGUUUGGGAAUGCUGCUCUAAAUGGGAGGUAUAUCUCUUCUAAAGCUAAAUAUAGGCCAGAGACCGAUAGCGCACAAGUAGAGUGAUCGAAAGAUGAAAAGCACUUUGAAAAGAGGGUUAAACAGUACGUGAAAUUGUUGAAAGGGAAGGGCUUGUGACCAGACUUGCGCCGGGCUGAUCAUCCGCGGUUCUCCGCGGUGCACUCUGCCCGGCUCAGGCCAGCGUCGGUUCUAGCAGGGGGACAAAAGCGUGGGGAACGUGGCUCCUCCGGGAGUGUUAUAGCCCCUCGCUCAAUACCCCUGCCGGACCGAGUCCGCGCUCG